AAAAAAAAAAAAAAAAAAAAAAAAAAUAUACAACAUCUUAAAAAGAAAAAAAUACAUGUCGAUUGUGGGAAUACUAAAGCUGAUAGCAACAGUGGUAAAAACAAAGGUAACGGUAGAAGUAGUAGCGGAGGUAACAGUAGAGGUAACAGUAGAGGUAACAGCAAAGAUAACAGCAAAAAUAACAGCAAAAAUAACAGCAAAAAUAACAAUAGAGGUAAAAAUAAAAGGAAAAAUAAAUUUAGCAAACCAAUUGAUGCAACCAAUGAAAUAUAUUUUUAUCUUAGUAUAUACAGAAAAAUCGCUUUAUCCUGUUUAAAUUUUAUCAUUCGUAUUAUCGUAAAAGCCAUACUUGAUAUAAAUUCCUUUUUUUUUAUUUCUAAAAUAAUAAAAUAUAUACAUGAUACUUGUAUAUGUACAAACAUAAGUGAAGUUAAAUUUAUAUCUUUUAGAAUAAUAACCGAAAUAAUUGUUAACUCGUCUUUUUUUUUUGAAAAUGUAAAUCAAAUAAAAGAAGAUAAUACAUUAAACAACAGCAAUAGUUUAUUCGAGUCAUCAAUGAAAUUUGACACUAUUGAUGUGGACAGGUUGUAUGGGGGUUUACACCAAGAACAAUCAAGCAAUUACACCAAAAUGAGUAUUCCUCCUACUGAUACUGUAGAACCUACUGAUACUGUAGAACCUACCGAUACUGUAGAACCUACCGAUAUUGUAGAAUCUGCCAAUACUGUAGAAUCUGCCAAUACUGUAGAAUCUAGCGAAACAAAUACUAAUACAUUCGUCGAAGUAGCUGAAAAAAUGAAAGACCAAUAUCAAAAUAAUGUAUUAUAUAAUUUUACUAAUAUAGAAAAAUAUUUUAAUUCUAUAUUUUCUUCCAAUACUGGAAUAUCUUAUAUUAGUUUGUUUGAUUUGAAUUCCACAAGUAAGGAAAAAAAUGAACAAAUAAAUAUUCAAAUUAUGAGAAACGUGAAUCUAUAAAGAAUGAGAACGAUGAUAAUGUAAGCACAGGUUACGUUAAUAAUAAUAAUAAUAAUAAUAAUAAUAAUGAUAACAAUAAUAACUAUGAUGGAGUUAGACUAAAUAUAAAUAAUAAAGUUAAUGAGAAAAACA
rnacentral:lncRNA from 1 species